rnacentral:rRNA from 1 species
CGGGUGAGUAACACGUGAGUAACCUGCCCUUGACUCUGGGAUAAGCCUGGGAAACUGGGUCUAAUACCGGAUAUGACUGUCUAUCGCAUGGUGGUUGGUGGAAAGCUUUUGUGGUUUUGGAUGGACUCGCGGCCUAUCAGCUUGUUGGUGGGGUAAUGGCCUACCAAGGCGACGACGGGUAGCCGGCCUGAGAGGGUGACCGGCCACACUGGGACUGAGACACGGCCCAGACUCCUACGGGAGGCAGCAGUGGGGAAUAUUGCACAAUGGGCGCAAGCCUGAUGCAGCGACGCCGCGUGAGGGAUGACGGCCUUCGGGUUGUAAACCUCUUUCAGUAGGGAAGAAGCCGCAAGGUGACGGUACCUGCAGAAGAAGCGCCGGCUAACUACGUGCCAGCAGCCGCGGUAAUACGUAGGGCGCAAGCGUUAUCCGGAAUUAUUGGGCGUAAAGAGCUCGUAGGCGGUUUGUCGCGUCUGCCGUGAAAGUCCGGGGCUCAACUCCGGAUCUGCGGUGGGUACGGGCAGACUAGAGUGAUGUAGGGGAGACUGGAAUUCCUGGUGUAGCGGUGAAAUGCGCAGAUAUCAGGAGGAACACCGAUGGCGAAGGCAGGUCUCUGGGCAUUAACUGACGCUGAGGAGCGAAAGCAUGGGGAGCGAACAGGAUUAGAUACCCUGGUAGUCCAUGCCGUAAACGUUGGGCACUAGGUGUGGGGGACAUUCCACGUUUUCCGCGCCGUAGCUAACGCAUUAAGUGCCCCGCCUGGGGAGUACGGCCGCAAGGCUAAAACUCAAAGGAAUUGACGGGGGCCCGCACAAGCGGCGGAGCAUGCGGAUUAAUUCGAUGCAACGCGAAGAACCUUACCAAGGCUUGACAUGAACCAGACCGGGCUGGAAACAGUUCUUCCCCUUUGGGGUUGGUUUACAGGUGGUGCAUGGUUGUCGUCAGCUCGUGUCGUGAGAUGUUGGGUUAAGUCCCGCAACGAGCGCAACCCUCGUUCCAUGUUGCCAGCGGGUAGUGCCGGGGACUCAUGGGAGACUGCCGGGGUCAACUCGGAGGAAGGUGGGGACGACGUCAAAUCAUCAUGCCCCUUAUGUCUUGGGCUUCACGCAUGCUACAAUGG